rnacentral:rRNA from 1 species
UACGUAGGGGCCUAGCGUUGUCCGGAAUUAUUGGGCGUAAAGAGCUCGUAGGCGGUUCGGCAAGUCGGAUGUGAAAUCUCCACGCUUAACGUGGAGGGGCCAUUCGAAACUGCUGUGACUCGAGUCCGGUAGGGGAGUGUGGAAUUCCCGGUGUAGCGGUGAAAUGCGCAGAUAUCGGGAAGAACACCCGUGGCUAAGGCGGCUCUCUAGUACGGUACUGACGCUGAGACGCGAAAGCGUGGGGAGCGAACAGG